UACGAAGGGGGCUAGCGUUGCUCGGAAUUACUGGGCGUAAAGCGCACGUAGGCGGCUUUCUAAGUCGGGGGUGAAAUCCUGGAGCUCAACUCCAGAACUGCCUUCGAUACUGGAGAGCUCGAGUCCGGGAGAGGUGAGUGGAACUGCGAGUGUAGAGGUGAAAUUCGUAGAUAUUCGCAAGAACACCAGUGGCGAAGGCGGCCAACUGGUCCGGUACUGACGCUGAGGUGCGAAAGCGUGGGGAGCAAACAGG
rnacentral:rRNA from 1 species